UGUUCAAGUACUGUAUACACCUAUUUCUAAAAAGAUUGACAGCGCAAUUGGCGAUUGCCAACUUGCAGCGUAUGAGUAGUGUAAUUAUUUGUAAAAGUGAAGAGGGUAAAUAAACUCAGGCGAUGUCAGAACCAUAUACUGUCAACCUUCAAUGGAUAGUCGUAUGUUCUAUUCAUAUUUUUCUGAAUUUGGAACAAAUAUUUUGGGAGCCACGCGUCCUUCAGGUCAUGGAGCUACCAUUUGUCACUGUUUGCACUAAAAAUUAAUUUUAUAGGUGUAUGCCUGAACAUUUUGAUAAUUUAUGUAGAUAAUUUAUGAUAUACAUUCUAUAUAAUUUGAUCCGCUUUUAUGAUAGGAUGGGCGGAAUUUCAUGGUGAUUGAGGCAAAUUGACUUUUCUACUAUCUUAUCUAAAUUAUCUUAACUAAUCUUACCUUAACUAUCUUCAACUUAUAAUAAUGAACUAAUUAAUUAGGCUGAACGAGAACAUCAACCUGCACUUGCCUUUGAGCUUUGAACUUUGGCACCAUCAUCAGAAAGAAAGAAAAACACAGAUAAACAGGCACAAUUACAAACACAGAUAAACAGGCAGAUAAACAGGCACAAGUACAAACACAGAUAAACAGGCAGAUAAACAGGCACAAGUACAAACACAGAUAAACAGGCACAAGUACCUUGACAGAUAAACAGGCACAAGUACCUUGACAGAUAAACAGGCACAAGUACCUUGACAGAUAAACAGGCACAAGUACCUUGACAGAUAAACAGGCACAAGUACCUUGACAGAUAAACAGGCACAAGUGCCAACACAGAUAAACAGGCACAAGUGCCAACACAGAUAAACAGGCACAAGUACCAACACAGAUAAACAGGCACAAGUACCAACACAGAUAAACAGGCACAAGUACCAACACAGAUAAACAGGCACAAAUACCAACACAGAUAAACAGGCACAAGUACCAACACAGAUAAACAGGCACAAGUACCAACACAGAUAAACAGGCACAAGUACAAACACAGAUAAACAGGCACAAGUACCUUGACAGAUAAACAGGCACAAGUGCCAACACAGAUAAACAGGCACAAGUACAAACACAGAUAAACAGGCAGAUAAACAGGCACAAGUGCCAACACAGAUAAACAGGCACAAGUACCUUGACAGAUAAACAGGCACAAGUACAAACACAGAUAAACAGGCAGAUAAACAGGCACAAGUGCCAACACAGAUAAACAGGCACAAGUACCUUGACAGAUAAACAGGAACAAGUGCCAACACAGAUAAACAGGCACAAGUACAAACACAGAUAAACAGGCACAAGUACCAACACAGAUAAACAGGCACAAGUGCCAACACAGAUAAACAGGCACAAGUACCAACACAGAUAAACAGGCACAAAUACCAACACAGAUAAACAGGCACAAGUACCUUGACAGAUAAACAGGCACAAGUGCCAACACAGAUAAACAGGCACAAGUACCUUGACAGAUAAACAGGCACAAGUACCAACACAGAUAAACAGGCACAAGUACCUUGACAGAUAAACAGGCACAGGUACCAACACAGAUAAACAGGCACAAGUACCAACACAGAUAAACAGGCACAAGUGCCAACACAGAUAAACAGGCACAAGUACCUUGACAGAUAAACAGGCACAAGUACCAACACAGAUAAACAGGCACAAGUGCCAACACAGAUAAACAGGCACAAGUACCAACACAGAUAAACAGGCACAAGUGCCAACACAGAUAAACAGGCACAAGUACCAACACAGAUAAACAGGCACAAGUGCCAACACAGAUAAACAGGCACAAGUACAAACACAGAUAAACAGGCAGAUAAACAGGCACAAGUGCCAACACAGAUAAACAGGCACAAGUACCUUGACAGAUAAACAGGCACAAGUACAAACACAGAUAAACAGGCAGAUAAACAGGCACAAGUGCCAACACAGAUAAACAGGCACAAGUACCUUGACAGAUAAACAGGAACAAGUGCCAACACAGAUAAACAGGCACAAGUACAAACACAGAUAAACAGGCACAAGUACCAACACAGAUAAACAGGCACAAGUGCCAACACAGAUAAACAGGCACAAGUACCAACACAGAUAAACAGGCA